UUUGGGAAACUGGGGAAAGCGCAGCUGUUUCAAGAAGGAAAAAUCGAAUUAAAUAAUAGAAAAAUAAUUGUCAUACUUUUGCGAAUCUAGCCUCAAUAUUCUACUUCUCCAGAGCAGCCAAAAGAAAGCGCAUAAAUUGAUCGUCAAAUUUAAUUUUAUAAAAAUUCAUCAGAAAGCCGAGGAAAAUAGUAAAGAACCUUUCUACCAGCGUGCGUGCGACUGAGCCCAUGUACAGUUCGAAGAGAUAGUAGCAGGUUAUGAAGUCUCAGGAUCGAAUCUGAGCAGAUUGAUCACUGGCUUUGAUCAUGAAUCUGAAAAGAGGUGACUUUUUUUCUUGGAGAAACUGGAGGUUGUGUGCGGCAAGUUUACCAUAGGUGUAGUUCGUGAUUUUCUUUUGGAAAAGAAAAUUGAAAUUUCCUUGUUAGAUUGGCGGUUGAUUCAUUAAAGGUGGUGUUUAGAUGGUACUGGCAUAUAACACAUUUUAAUCCUCUCCAAAACCCUUAGGGUUUAAAGUGAGAAACUGGGUUUCCUUUCACAAUCCAGAUGGGGGUUUCUCUUUCUACGUUUGUAAGAAUCAAGCUGAUCCUGUUAUUGGGUAGUCGUAGUUAAGUCUUAUUCUUUUAUGUGAUGACCCUUAAAAUUGAUGCUUGAUGCACAGAUAAGCCAGCAAUUCAUUGGCUUGGGUUUGUAGAACUUUUGAUACUGCCCAUUUGAUCUUUUUGGAAAGAGACUAUAAUUCAAACCCUUUUUUUUUCAGUCUAAUAGCUGUUACUCUUUUGUUUCAUCCGAACCCCACACUUUUCUCUGGAUUCCAGCAAUGGUGGAAAAGGGCAUGCUUCCCUCGAGGUUUCUUUUCUACUUAGUAACCAUUUCUAUGUUCCUUUUGAUCCUUUCAUCUGUGUUCCUUCUCGAAUUUAGAAAUACUUCCAUCAUACCCACAUCGGUAUUUAAGCUUUUCCUUGUUAAUAGCUCAUCAGCUGACAUCAAACCCUAUGUCAGAAGUGAACAAACGACACUUCCUUUGAUCCCCUCUGGGAAUACACAAAUUAAUUCUGAAAGGUCCAUGAGAAGUGGAAGAUUGGGAUGUCAGGUGAACAAUUCGAGUAGGGAAAUCUCUUCUCUAGGAAAGCAAAGAAAUAUUGUCUGCGAUGCUACUCAGGCUCUCUUGAGGGUUUUUAUGUACGACUUGCCUCCUGAAUUCCACUUUGGACUAGUGGGUUGGAAGGGGAGGGUGAAUCAAACAUGGCCAAAUGUCAAUAACCCAAGUCGGAUCCCAUCAUACCCAGGUGGGCUGAAUUUACAACACAGUAUAGAGUACUGGCUUACCCUUGAUCUUUUGUCUUCAAACACCCCAAAUGUUGUUAGACCCUGCACCACCAUAAGAGUGAAGAAUUCAAGUCUAGCAGAUGUCAUUUUUGUUCCAUUCUUCUCAUCUUUGAGUUACAACAGGCAUUCUAAGCUUCAUCGCAAGGAGAAAGUUAGUCUUAACCAGAUAUUGCAGGAAAAAUUGGUUAAGUUUUUGAAGGGUCAGGAAGAAUGGAAGCGAUUGGGUGGAAAGGAUCAUCUAAUUAUUGCCCACCAUCCAAAUAGCAUGUUAGAUGCAAGAAGCAAGUUGGGUUCAGCCAUGUUUGUGCUCGCAGAUUUUGGAAGAUACCCAGGUGACAUUGCGAAUCUUGGGAAGGACAUAAUUGCUCCUUACAGGCAUUUAGUGAGGACCAUCCCCAAUGGUGAAUCAGCCCCAUUUGGUAGACGUCCUAUAUUGGCAUAUUUCCAAGGGGCAAUAUACAGGAAAGAUGGAGGAAUCAUUCGCCAAGAACUAUUUUACCUUCUCAAAGAUGAGAAGGAUAUACACUUCACAUUUGGCAGCAUUCGAGCAAAUGGGAUUAACAGUGCAGGCCAAGGGAUGUCAUCAUCCAAGUUCUGCCUAAAUAUUGCUGGAGACACCCCUUCCUCAAAUCGUCUCUUUGAUGCCAUUGCAAGUCAUUGUGUUCCUGUGAUCAUUAGCGAUCAGAUUGAGCUACCAUUCGAAGAUGUCUUAGACUACUCAGAGUUUUGCUUAUUUGUCCAUGGAUCUGAUGCUGUAAAAAAGGGUUACUUACUGAAACUUCUUAGAGGAAUUAAGCAAGACAAGUGGACCAGAAUGUGGGAAAAAUUGAGGGAGAUUGCGCAUCAUUUUGAAUACCAGUAUCCAUCCAAGCCUGGGGAUGCUGUGGAUAUGAUUUGGGAAGAAGUUUCACGCAAGAUAUCUUCAAUUCGUUUUAAACUCCACAGGAAUAACAGAUACAGCAGAUCUCAGUUUUGACUACAGAAUGAUUCACCCUCUUAAAAGAGUCCGAGAUUUCUUGACCUUGGAGUAUAUGGAAAAUCACCAAAAAUCGGAUAGAUGAAGGGCUUAUUAGAGAGGCACAAGCUUAGUCACUUUGAAGAUCUGUUAGUGCUUUCGUUCGCUUAUAAUGAUUUACACCACUGAUUGGUUUAAGCUGCAAUUCUUCAGCUUGACAAAAAAACUUGGACUGAAACAAAUGGAAAUAGAGAAAUUCAACCAAACCGCUUCAAGGAAUUACUGAGGAAGCAGGAUGCCAACCACCCUUGUGUUUCUCUUUGCAUCAGGUAUAGCCACUAGCGUCUCUUCCUUUGAGAUGCCCCCUUACCACCUCCCUCUCCACAGUAGAAGAUAAAGCUUCAGCAGGUCAACACCUAUUAUGAAUAGGGUCUGAUCCUUUUCGAACUCGCCUUUUGUUCGACUGAUUUGGAUCGAACAUUAUUGAAGGUGCAGGUGCCAAACUGAGCUUUGUAUGUGUAUCCUCCACAGCAACAGCCUCUAGGACUCGCAAAUGUUCAAGAAAUGGUAAUUGUACUUUGUCCCAUUUCAGAGCAAGGCCAAUGCUUCUCAGGCCUGCAACCUCAUCUGGUUGAAGAGCUAAAACCCCCAUACAAACAAGAAGAAUGACUCCUCUACAAACCAAAGGACCCAUAUGCUUGUACUCUGCAAAAACAAGAAUAUGUCGUGUGUCUGAACUUCCUAUUGCUUAUGCCUUAUUCCCUCCUAUAAGAAUAAGCCUGAGGUUUAUCUCUUAUGGGAUUUGGAAGGCUAAAAGCAUAAAGCACAAGGUGGCCCCGCAGAACAUGUAGGGAAGUUUUAGAUUCACCUCAAUCAUAAGCCUGCCACAGAAGCAAUAAAAGGCUGUUUUGGAAGACUCUGACGGGUUUGAAUGAAAAGAUAGUUUGGAACAC